GCACCCGUUUAGAUCAGUGGUCGAGAGCUGGCUUUGGAUGCCACAGGUCGGUGGUUCGAUUCCACCCGGGCGCA
rnacentral:tRNA from 1 species